CCUGGCUCAGGAUGAACGCUAGCGGCAGGCGUUAACACGAUGCAAGUCAGGGGUAACAGGGAGUAGCAAUACUCUGCUGACGACCGGCGCACGGGUGCGUAACGCGUAUGCAACCUGCCCGUAACAGGGGUAUAACGGAGGGAAACUUCCACUAAUCCCCCAUAUUGUCGAGGGGCCGCAUGGUUUUUCGACGAAAGCUUCGGUGGUUACGGAUGGGCAUGCGUGACAUUAGGUAGUUGGUGAGGCAACGGCUCACCAAGCCGACGAUGUCUAGGGGAGCUGAGAGGCUUAUCCCCACACUGGUACUGAGACACGGACCAGACUCCUACGGGAGGCAGCAGUGAGGAAUAUUGGUCAAUGGGAGGAAUCCUGAACCAGCCAUGCCGCGUGGGGGAAGAAGGUCCUACGGGUUGUAAACCCCUUUUGCUCCGGAGUAAUAAGCAGUUUGCGAACUGCGAUGAGAGUACGGGGCGAAUAAGCAUCGGCUAACUCCGUGCC
rnacentral:rRNA from 1 species